rnacentral:lncRNA from 1 species
UAACUCAUUUCUUUCAGAUAGUUUCACUUGCCUCUCCAUUCCUGUCCCAGGAUGGGGAUUCCAGGACUGGAAGGAAGGGAAGCAAGUGGGUCCUGAGAUCAGAUCGGGAGAGUUAAUGAGGCUGCUCUGCACUUGGCAGAGUGGUUGGAUGCUACUACAGAGGGGGAGAAUCUCCCCGCACCCUGCUUUAUGCCUUAUAUAAGUUGGAAACAUCAAGAUCUGAGGCUUCUGUGGCUUCCUGGACAGGAUCAAAACUUGGACAGCCAAAGCAGCAGCCAUAGUCGUAUACUCAACAUGGCCUAAGAGAAUGCAGAGAGCAGAGGAGCAAAGAGGAGGGGACUGAGUCAACACAAUCUCAAAACCACUCUAUCCUCAUGUCAACUGGAGAUGUCAUUUUCUAAAGCCCUUCUGAGCACAACCCACAGGUAACUUCCAAAUCUCCCAUGAUUAAAAGGCUUAACAGAAAACAUAAAAACUAAAUAACUAACAAAUGCAAAAAUAUAUGUAUAUAUAUAUAUAUAUAUAUAUAUAUCAC